UACGUAGGGCGCAAGCGUUGUCCGGAAUUAUUGGGCGUAAAGAGCUCGUAGGCGGUCUGUCGCGUCUGCUGUGAAAACCCGAGGCUCAACCUCGGGCCUGCAGUGGGUACGGGCAGACUAGAGUGCGGUAGGGGAGACUGGAAUUCCUGGUGUAGCGGUGGAAUGCGCAGAUAUCAGGAGGAACACCGAUGGCGAAGGCAGGUCUCUGGGCCGCAACUGACGCUGAGGAG
rnacentral:rRNA from 1 species